rnacentral:ncRNA from 1 species
CCUUGUGACAGCCAAAAGCGUUCAUAGCGACGUUGCUUUUUGAUCCUUCGAUGUCGUCUCUUCCUAUAUCGUACUGUGAAACCGAAUUCACCAAAGUGUUGGAUUGUUCACCCACCAAUAGGGAACGUGAGCUAGGUUUAGACCGUCGUGAGACAGGUU